UACAGAGGUCCCAAGCGUUGUUCGGAUUCACUGGGCGUAAAGGGUGCGUAGGUGGUGAGGUAAGUCGGAUGUGAAAUCUCCGAGCUCAACUCGGAAAUGGCAUUGGAAACUACCUUGCUAGAGGAUUGGAGGGGAGACUGGAAUGCUUGGUGUAGCAGUGAAAUGCGUAGAUAUCAAGCGGAACACCAGUGGCGAAGGCGAGUCUCUGGACAAUUCCUGACACUGAGGCACGAAAGCCAGGGGAGCAAACGGGAUUAGAAACCCUCGUAGUCC
rnacentral:rRNA from 1 species